CCAAAGUCACAAAGAUAGCAUGAACUAUCAGGGAUUUGAAUUUUUACUCUCUUCCUUCCAAUUGUAGGAGUGAAGCCUAAAAAUUAACUCAGUUGGAGACCAUGAUCCUGCUGAAAGGGGACCAGGUCCAGACAGCUACCCACCCACCUCAGACAUCCCUCUUGCAGACUCGAGGGGGCGUACUGUAUUGGGUCCACAGAGAGGCACAAACUGUGCCCGCAUUGAGGCACUUGGGGAAUGGAGGAAAGGGGGUUUGAUGGGUUUGUUUGGUUUUUGUUUGUUUGUUUGUUUACUCCUCACCUACCUCCUCAGUAUUUGUAGAAGCUUGCAGAAGUCCUUAAGAAUGGAAAACAAAAGCUCCUUCCCGAGGCUGGGUUAAGAGUCAGAAGAGACCAGAGGCAGAUGGGUAAGGAAAGGAAGCCCCUACAGGGAAAUGGGAGUCUGGGGCAUAUGCUUCCCCUUACCUUGCACCAACGAAGAGACUCGCUAACUACAACUCCCAAGCUGCCCCAGGAAUCACCUUCUACUGAUUGGAUGAUCAUUCUGAAAGAGCGCUAUAUUUACCAAUCAACGGAGAAGCUUUCCAUACUCGGACCACAAGAACCAAUGGCAGGAGAGACAUGCCUCGGUAUUUCUAAUUGUGCUCCUUCUCUCAAGAGCCUCAGCUGAGGUGCUUAAGUUGUCUUGUUCAGGUGCCAGAAUUCUGUAAUUUAAACGCUGGAGUGUUUUUUUGGAAGUAACUACUCAAGCUUAUCUUGGGCUUUCCAUUUUGCAUGAGCUUGAGCUCCUUGGACACACCAGCUCCAGCUUGUAAACACACAGGAAGAACUUAUUAAUGAUAUUCAAGGGCCAACACACCUCUGUUAGCCAAUGGAAGAUAUUAAGACAUGGAACACCUGGAUUACAAAUUAAUUGGACUAUAACUUUAGAAUUGAAUGGGGCUUUAGACUGUAUUUCAAGAAAUUUAGAGACCUGCCAUCACUGUAUAAUGAAGAUGAUAUAGUAUUUAAAGAUCCAGGAACUGAACAAAAUAUUACGGAUAAGGUAUGUUGUGGAAAGAGCACAGUGAGACUAUCAAUUCACCAUUCCUGGGAACUAUUUCUCUUAAGGUAGUCCAAGAUUAUAUUAGUUUUUUUGACUGCCAUACCAUUGUUGACACAUAAUAAGUACCUAUUUGUAACCCAAGUUUAAGACUGUAUUUAUCUCUAUUAGAAUUCUAUCUUCUUAAAUUUAGGCAAAUGCUACAUAGCCUAUAAAAAACAUUUUGGACCCUGACUCUUAUCAUCUAGUUUGUUAUCUAUCCUUCUCAGCUUUGUGUCAUUGCAAAGUUGAUAAUUAUUCUGUCUAUCCAAAUUUUAUGGAUGUUUAUCCAAAUUAUUGAUAAAAGUAUUUAAUAGUACAAGAUCAAGCCCAGAACUCUGGGAUAUUCCACCAGAGACUUCCUGUCAAUGUACCAUUAAUAACUCCUCUUUGAGUCUCACUACCCAACCAGUUUAUUGCCUAUUCCACAUCUCUCUACCUUUUCCACAAUAAAUGUAUGACACAUUUCAUCAAAAGUAUUGCUAAAAUCUAAUUAAACUAAUCCACAGAAUUGCUCUCAUCUACUAGUUUAGUAAUCCUAUUUUAGUAAUCCUAUUAAAAAAGGAAAUUAUUUU